rnacentral:tRNA from 1 species
AAGGGAGACCUAAUUCAGGUAGGAGACGAAAAAAAAGUAGUCCCAACCAAGAAUCAAUCCCAAAAGGUCGGAGCGAGGCGAAAUUGGCUUUCAGACUAGGUUCUGGGUUCACACAAGACCUGAAUCAGGAACAAGGGCUAUUAGCUCAGGUGGUUAGAGCGCACCCCUGAUAAGGGUGAGGUCCCUGGUUCGAGUCCAGGAUGGCCCACCUGCACAGGUGGCAAAAACAAGAGAAGCGAGGAAUCAGCACCUUAUCUUAUCUAUAUAUAUAUAGGAGAGAAUGCUGGCUCUGAGUAAAGAGUCCAGAGGAACCUUGAAAACUGCAUAGAGCUAGGUGAAAAAGCCAAAAAAGAAGACCGCAA